AACUUCAAAGGAAUUGACGGGAACCCCGCAACAAGCGGUUGNAUGAUGUGGUUUAAUUCGAUGCAACGCGAAAAACCCUUACCUACCUUUGACAUGUACGGGAACUCGCCAGAGAUGGCUUGGUGCUUCGAAAGAGANCCGUAACACAGGUGCUGCAUGGCUGUCGUCAGCUCGUGUCGUGAGAUGUUGGGUUAAGUCCCGCAACGAGCGCAACCCUUGUCAUUAGUUGCUACAUUUAGUUGGGCACUCUAAUGAGACUGCCGGUGACAAACCGGAGGAAGGUGGGGAUGACGUCAAGUCCUCAUGGCCCUUAUAGGUAGGGCUACACACGUCAUACAAUGGAUGGUACAAAGGGUCGCCAACCCGCGAGGGGGAGCCAAUCCCAUAAAGCUAUUCGUAGUCCGGAUCGCAGUCUGCAACUCGACUGCGUGAAGUCGGAAUCGCUAGUAAUCGUGGAUCAGAAUGUCACGGUGAAUACGUUCCCGGGUCUUGUACACACCGCCCGUCACACCAUGGGAGCGGGUUCUGCCAGAAGUAGUUAGCCUAACCUGCAAAGGAGGGCGAUUACCACGGCAGGGUUCGUGACUGGGGUGAAGUCGUAACAAGGU
rnacentral:rRNA from 1 species